rnacentral:rRNA from 1 species
CGCGUAGGCGGAUGAAUAAGUCAGAUGUGAAAUUCCGAAGCUCAACUUCGGAACUGCAUUUGAAACUAUAGAUCUCGAGGAUUGACGGAGAAAACGGAAUUCCACGUGUAGCGGUGAAAUGCGUAGAUAUGUGGAAGAACACCUGUGGCGAAAGCGGUUUUCUAGUUUAUACCUGACGCUGAGGCGCGAGAGCAAGGGGAGCAAACA